ACAAGUAGCAAAGAGAGGCUUGGAGUGGCUGAGGGACAGAAGGCCGAGAGCGCACCAGGGCUGAGGGCCUCUGAAAGGGGGCGCUUGGCGAAGACCGAGCUGAACGGAGGAAGAGAAAAGACACUGAGCUCUCAGCACUGGACAAGUGUUGAUCCCGGCACCCCAGCUGACGGAGCGUGGAAGAGAGGCGGUCCUGAUCACUGGACGGUCUUCAAAAGGAGGAGCCGAACGCUGGCAAAAUGAAGCAGCACAUCAGUUUGUUCUGUUCUUAAACACGAUAGAUGCCAAGAAAUGAUUGCUCUGAAAUACCCCGCAGCUGCCCAGCGCUGAUUGCUCUGAAAUACCCCGCAGCUGCCCAGCAUUGCUGCUACCCCUGUGGGAUCCUGGCUCUGCAGUAUACCAUGGCAUGCUUCUGCCAGAACAGGCUUUUAAAAGAAAAUAAACCCAAGGUCACUCACUUCCACGUUAUGAAAACAUUUUGUCAGUUGCCAACUUCAUUUUUCUAAUGUCCUCUUACCCAAUAACCUAAGCCUGGCACGCUGGGCAGAGUCCAGCUUGGGGAAUUCCAUCCUCAGCGCCAGAGUCUCAGAAGGAGUUUGAACUGGACGUUCCUCACUUCUGCCGCCAUCCUCCUAUUCACCUAACUAAGGUGCUUCAUCCGAGCAGUGUGCCGGGGCUAGAAGGACGGAACUUCAAAAGAGGGAUCAUGCUGAAAAAGCGAGUGAGCCCAUGAGCUUAGCAGUGGUCUCCGAAAGUCAAGUCAUUGAACAAAUAUCAAGAUUUUUUUUGCUAGACUAUGCAGUGCGGAUGUGCGUGUGUGUGCUCAUGUGUGGAGGCCAGAGGUUAAUAUCAAGUGUCAUCCUCGUCCUCACUCAACCUUACUGAUAGAGGCAAGUUCUCUCGCUUGAAUCUAGAGCUCACUCACCAAUUCAGCUGGUCUAGCUAGCUUGCCCCAAGGAUCCCAUCCAACUAGACUGCUCUCUGGUCACAUGGGACACCAAGCUGGAGAAGGUAAUUUAAGGAGUCUUAGCACAUCUUCAUGAGCUCCUGGGGGAGCUGCCUGUGGCAGAACAAAGGAGUAGGAAGUCCACAUAUGACUUACUAACAGGUGGCAUUCUGGGAGGGGCAUCACCCCAACAAAAAAACCACUGAAAACUUUGUUUCCUGCCCCUUUGUGAACAACAGCAAAUAAUAAAUGGCAGCUGUAGAGUGUGAGGGUGGCGGGGCAUGGCAGGCGGAAGAACGUCCAACUGCCCACCUCGUGUAGAUUCUUCUGUGCAGCCCCGACAGGGAGUCCGCCAGGUCUCGCAUCCUCCGCCUUGACAGAUGGGGAGGCCAGGCGGUGUCAGGCGAAUGGCAGUUUUACUGUGUGCUGUUCUCUUGGCUAGGGAAGGUCGUUGACUAUGGCUCUUGUUGCCCAACGUUGUGCUGUAAAGGGCGACAAUGCGAAUAGAGUCACAUCUCCAAGAGGAGCCAAAGUUCCUGCCAUGCGUGCAGACCUGAGUGCCCACAUAAGAACCAGGUGUGGCACCCCACGUGGGUAAUGAACUCUUACCAUGUUCCCUUCCUGAAGCGUGGAACCCGAAUUCUUACAGAGUCCUCUGCAGUCCCUCCUAACUAAACUGGACACUCUAGCCUGCAUCUGUACUGCCCCCACCUUUGCUGGUCAGGAUCUUUAAUUCAUUGGCGAUUACUUUUUACAAGAUUUCUUUUGAAACCAAUAAUUCCUUGAGAGUAAGGGCCCUGGGUCUUCUGUGUUCACCACUGAAAACCUCAAACAAUGCAAAGACAUUGUUCAACAACAUCUAUGGACUGGGGCGCUUUAGCCAUUUGCUCAGAAAUCUGGGCUGGAAUGGUGGCUGUAGUUUCCAAUCAUUAUUUUAUACUCCCUCCCUCCUCCUCCUCCUAACUCCUCCUAGGUCUGCCCCUCAUCUCACGGCCCCCACCCCCAACUCCAACCUUGUGUCCUCUUUUUAGGACUUCCUGCUCCUUGCGGGGGUUCCUCAGAGACAACCUUCAGAGAGAUUCUGCAUCACAUCUGCAGCGGGUUUCUUGUGUUCUGAGUUAACACUGUGCUAAUGCAGAGAACUACAGUUCAGUACAGCAGAUCCCUGCCCAGUCCACGCCUGGCCAGCUGCCCAGUGUGUUCCUGUGUGAGGAGACGGCUCAGACCCGUGUACAGGCUGUCACAGCCAGGCUUUUGAGUGAAUCUCAACCGGCCUUCACCUGAACUUCACCUUCAACAGCUGUCUCUCCAAGUAAGUGAACAAGAAAAAAAAAAGUUAAUUUGAUUCCAAUGUUAUUGACACCGGAGUCUUCACGCUGAGACCCAAAAAGUCAAAGUGAAUCAUCCUUUUUCAUAAAUAGGUGAAGCUUGGGCAGACAUGUAGAGUUGUGAUCGGGCAACAAAGGAAUAAUAUCGACAUACUGUAACAGAUGGACUGGGGGACCUAGCAAGGCCUGUCCAGUGUCCCUCCCCCUGUGUUUAUAACAAGUUCCCUUCCUGAAAUCAACUUCUUCUGGUCUCAUGGUUGCUGCAGUUCAUCAGACGAAGGAGGCCUGGGACCGUCUCUAGGGUCAGCUCCAAGACGGAGGCAGAAAGGGGGACUUCAGGGAGUUGUUCCUAAGCCUGGUGGUUAGUGUUGUGGAAAGGGGGCUCAGGUUUCUAGAGCCAAAAAUGAUCUUGAACUCACGACCCUCUUUGCUUCCACCUCCAGAGUAAUGCCAGGAACAUGGGUGAAUCCCAGCAAGAAUUCAGGGAUUUGUACAUACGAGGCAAGCAGUCUGUCAGCUGAGCUACACCUCCAGACCCUUUGCAGAAGAGAAAUUCUAAUUUCUGUGGUUUACCCUGAGGGAGAAAGGGAGCAGGAGACAGACAGUGUGAAGACAGAAGGAGAAGACAGAAGACCGGGGUUGCUAGGGUCCUGGAGAUGGCCUUGGUGCUGGAAGCACUCACUGGGCUGGGCCCUUUAUUCUCCCACACAAGUACUAACCAGGUCCAAUCCUGCUUAGCUUCUGAGAUCAGAAGAGAUCAGGAGAGUUCAGGGUGGUAUGGCCAUCAAAUCCCAUUCUCAAUAUAACAAUUAGAUGGGUAAUAGUGAAAAUCAGACAGAGCAUGGGGAUUUGCUCCAUGAAGCCACGUUGGGAGAAGGAGGAAAGAGGUCCAGCUACUCCCUGGGUCCAUCUUUGGAGUCCUGACUUGAGGUUUUAAAUAGAGGGUAAGGCGUGUGAAGAGUUCAGCGGUCUUGGGGAGGUAUGAUCGCACCCACCAUCACUGUCUGGCUUCAGGUUCUCCCGCAAGGUGGUCAGACAAGUUCCCAGAACUUCGUGAGAUCUCUUUCUAGGAGAUAAGAUCCACCGCUGGAGCAGCCACAGCCCUGUUCUUUCUCUGUUCCAGCAUCAGACCCCUACAUGAAUCUCAUUGCUCACAGACCACGGUUUCAAUAAACCAGUAGACAAAGGGAGGGGAACAACUGUCUCCAGAUCAUCUGUACAACUGGAGCCUUCACACUGGAGCGCCCCUGUCCCAUUCCCACACUACGACCUCUUCACCCUGCUGCGAGAUCUGAGGGUGAGACCCUGGCCGGCCCUGCCAGCCUUCCCCAUCCCAGCCAUUUAGGAUGACUCUCACGAA